GUUUUUUCUCGCUAGAAAGACGUCACUUUGUAAUUUUUUCCAAGGAAAACUAAUAAUUUUCAAAUAUUUAAUUGAGCGUUCCUUUAAAGGUUAAGGCCUUCUAAAUCACUUGGUGUCAUUGAGAAAGUCGUAAGUCUUCCAGGUUCUAAGAUAUGGCCAUUUAAUAUAGCACAAUUUUUAGGGCUCUUAAGGGUUUUUUCUCGCUAGAAAGACGUCACUUUGUAAUUUUUUC